AUUGAACGCUGGCGGCAGGCCUAACACAUGCAAGUCGAACGGUAACAGGAAGAGGCUUGCUUCUUUGCUGACGAGUGGCGGACGGGUGAGUAAUGUCUGGGAAACUGCCUGAUGGAGGGGGAUAACUACUGGAAACGGUAGCUAAUACCGCAUAACGUCGCAAGACCAAAGAGGGGGACCUUCGGGCCUCUUGCCAUCGUAUGUGCCCAGAUGGGAUUAGCUAGUAGGUGGGGUAACGGCUCACCUAGGCGACGAUCCCUAGCUGGUCUGAGAGGAUGAUCAGCCACACUGGAACUGAGACACGGUCCAGACUCCUACGGGAGGCAGCAGUGGGGAAUAUUGGACAAUGGGCGCAAGCCUGAUGCAGCCAUACCGCGUGUAUGAAGAAGGCCUUCGGGUUGUAAAGUACUUUCGGCGGGGAGGAAGGGCGUAAGGUUAAUACCCUGCCUCAUUGACGUUACCCGAAGAAGAAGCACCGGCUAACUCCGUG
rnacentral:rRNA from 1 species